rnacentral:rRNA from 1 species
AUUGAACGCUGGCGGCAGGCUUAACACAUGCAAGUCGAGCGAGCGGCGGACGGGUGAGUAAUGUCUGGGAACCUGCCUGAUGGCGGGGGAUAACUACUGGAAACGGUAGCUAAUACCGCAUACCAUCAGAUGUGCGCAGAUGGGGUUAGCUAGUAGGUGGGGUAAUGGCUCACCAAGGCGACAAUCCAUAGCUGGUCUGAGAGGAUGACCGGCCACACUGGAACUGAGACACGGUCCAGACUCCUACGGGAGGCAGCAGUGGGGAAUAUUGCACAAUGGGCGAAAGCCUGAUGCAGCCAUGCCGCGUGUGUGAAGAAGGCCUUCGGGUUGUAAAGCACUGUCAGUGGGGAGGCGUUACCCGCAGAGGAAGCCCCGGCUAACUCCGUGCCAGCAGCCGCGGUAAUUC